CUCUGUUUCACUGUGUUGACGGGGGGGUGGCAGGAUACGCGAUCUUUGGCUCUGGAACUAAACUGUAUGUAACAGAUGAGCAGGUAGUGAAGCCCGUGGUGAGCGUGUACCCAGCAGCAUCCAGAGCCCACCUGGAGGGGAAGAGCUCCCUGCUGUGUCUGGCCUCAGCCAUGUUCCCUCCUCUGGUCCAGUUCUCCUGGAGAAGACGAAAGGAGGACGGUCCUCUGGAGGAGCUGCCCCCUGCUGAGGGAGAGCAGCUGGAGCUCAGAGAGUCGGGACGCACCGCCGGCAUCCUGCUGAUCCACCAGCAAGAGAACAGCACAUAUAAAUACCGUUGCUACGUCCGGCACGAGGGGGGCACAGUGGAGGCCCAAGCAGAACAAGAGGUUCCAGCUCCAGCAGCCUCCUGUCCUCCAGAGAGAGAGCCAGCAGACCUGCCAGCACUGCAGCAAGCUGACUUGUCCUUCCAGUCUCAGUGCAGGGUGAGGCUGCUCUGCCUGCUGUACACAGUGCUGAUAGUGAAGAGUCUGGUGUACUGCUGUGGACUCUCUCUGCUGAUGAUCCUCAGGAACAAGGGAGCGUCCACCAACUGCUCACAUGCUGACUGACUGUUUUCUGAUCGCCUUUUCUCUCCAUCACAUCCCAUCAAUCUCUUUUCUCUCUGUGAUCAGUAUUCUCUAAUAUCAGUUAUGACGUGUUGUGGUUGGUUGUAAAAUGUAUCUUGUUAUGCAGGUUACCGUCAUCCUAAAACUAUAAGUACAUAUACACAUAUAUAUUUGCAGUUACUACGUAUACAUUCUGUGUUUAUGUGUUUAUUUCCACCUUUACUUGUGACUUGUAGACUUAUAGAAAGAUGAAUCGUUAGCUGGUAGAUGUUUUAUUGUGUUUAGUAUCUUUCAUAUUCUUCUGUGCGGC
rnacentral:lncRNA from 1 species